rnacentral:rRNA from 1 species
CCUACGGGGGGCUGCAGUGGGGAAUAUUGGACAAUGGGGGGAACCCUGAUCCAGCGACGCCGCGUGAGUGAAGAAGUACUUCGGUAUGUAAAGCUCUAUCAGCAGGGAAGAAAAUGACGGUACCUGACUAAGAAGCCCCGGCUAACUACGUGCCAGCAGCCGCGGUAAUACGUAGGGGGCAAGCGUUAUCCGGAUUUACUGGGUGUAAGGGGAGCGUAGACGGCGUGGCAAGUCUGAUGUGAAAGGCCGGGGCCCAACCCCGGGACUGCAUUGGAAACUGUUAAGCUGGAGUGCAGGAGGGGUAAGCGGAAUUCCUAGUGUAGCGGUGAAAUGCGUAGAUAUUAGGAGGAACACCGGUGGCGAAGGCGGCUUGCUGGACGGUAACUGACGUUGAGGCUCGAAAGCGUGGGGAGCAAACAGGAUUAGAUACCCGUGUAGUC